rnacentral:hammerhead_ribozyme from 1 species
UCCCAGCUGACGAGUUCCAAAUAGGACGAAACGCGCGUCCUGGAU